AGGCAACCUCCUUUUAAUAAAAUCUCAAUGAAAAGGAAGGUGUUAAUCCGGUCGGAUAUAAAUAUCUUUUGCUCUUCAGAUUCGCUGAGACCAUAUGGUUUUUGAAGCUGGUCUAGUAAGCACAAGUACAUU